rnacentral:rRNA from 1 species
UGACACGUAGGCACCAAGCGUUGUCCGGAUUUAUUGGGCGUAAAGAGCUCGUAGGCGGUUCGGUAAGUCGGGUGUGAAAUCUCUGGGCUCAACCCAGAGGGGCCACCCGAUACUGCUGUGACUAGAGUGUGGUAGGGGAGUGGGGAAUUCCUGGUGUAGCGGUGAAAUGCGCAGAUAUCAGGAGGAACACCAGUGGCGAAGGCGCCACUCUGGGCCAUAACUGACGCUGAGGAGCGAAAGCGUGGGUAGCAAACAGGAUUAGAUACCCUGGUAGUCCACGCCGUAAACGUUGGGCACUAGGUGUGGGUUUCAACCAACGAGAUCCGCGCCGUCGCUAACGCAUUAAGUGCCCCGCCUGGGGAGUACGGCCGCAAGGCUA